AUUUUUCCGACCACAACCCAUAGAGGUGGAAUCGCCGACCGACGUCACGCGAUCUUUGAUGGAGAAGCUGAAGCCCGAUAACCAUGGGUACCGUCUAGAUUCUGGGAUUCCGUUCCUUCUCAAAUAAGCAUGUACUCUCACUCUCACUCAUUUUCUUUAUCUCACUUCCACUGUCUCCGUAAGAAUCCUCCCUCCCCUUUUCUUCUCUCUAUAUGUGCGUUGUAUUAUAAUUUUGUGAGAGAAUGGGAAUUUUCUUUUUGGAGUAGUUAAAGAAUUCAUGAAAUAUGAUUGCUGAAGUAAUGUGGGACUUCGUGCCGUGUUUAGCUUUUUGUGCGCCAUUGAUUUUACUAUGUGAAAGGAUUACAGUACCAUAAGAUAUUUUGUUAGUCGUAAUUGUAGUCUGAUUUUUGUAAAUGGUUAGUUGAUUGAUACGCUUGUGCCCUAGAAACAAUAUUAUUAUUAUUAUUAUUUUGGAUAAAUUCGUUUGUAUUUGAGCAUUCACAUACAAUCCCUUGAAGUUGAUUGCAGAGUACACCUCUUGCUAUCAAGCUCUAGCAAUUGGAUCUAGAUCAUAGGCGCAUAUAUGAGUCUUCUCACCUAACUUAUCCAUUUAAUUGGGCAGUGGGAGCUGGGUUUCCCUUAUUCAUUAAAUCUCAGUAAUAUAUCUCCUUCAUUUUGAAAAAUAAAGUAAAAUAAAGCUUACAAUGUGUUGAAGUAUUAAAUUAGAACCAAAACGUGAAUGAAGCAAUCUACAUGAUGAUUAGUGGGAGAUGAAUGAUCAGCAACAAUUAUUUCCCAAGUCUUAUUUUCUGAGGUAUUGUUUUCAUCAUAAACAACAUUUCCAUAUCAAAGUACAAUUUCCAACAGAUAUGAUGUUUACAUGUUGAUCACCUAUACAACGUGACUAAAUGCUGUGCAGCAAAUAUAAGAUCUUGGUAAAAUGCAUUAAAAUAAUGCUCCAAAAUUUCUCCUCCUUGCAUAUGCGGCCGUAAAAUUUUCCUCUCUUCUCAUGAUUCAUCUAGUUUUCUAAUCUUUCUGUCUUCUUUUACCGCACAGUUAUUUUACCUUUGUCUUGUCUUUUAUUGAAUAGAUCCCAUGUGCAAUCUUUAUAGUUUUCUACAGAAAAUUUUUGCUAAUAUUUCUCAUCAAUCUCUUUCCGAUGGCUGCAGGAGUCCUGUUUGAUGAGGUUGGUGAUGAAUGUGAUAGAACAGCAAUUCAGUUUACAUAUCAAAGACGCCAGAAGGAAGCUAGGGCAGAAAAGGAACUGCAGGAAGAGUGAAGCCACGUGCAUAAUAACAGAAAUUGUUAUGGAACAGUCCAGAAGCACAACAACAUAUAAAGAGGGGAAAAUUGAAUUCAGAGGCAGGCAGAACUUGGUAUUCACUAGGAGAGUGGCGGACCUCUCGAAUGUCCAUAUCUAUAUCCUUGUUAGUUUCUUUCUUUUAUCUGUUCUUUUGCAUCCAGAUCUGUUUCUUCUUAUAGCAGAUCCGUUAUUAUUGUAAUUCCAGUUCAUCAAUGAAAUGAUAUGCUGUGUUCCAGCUCUCAAUUAUUUUAAAAGUGUGUUGGAUAAAUCGACAUUAUUCCAGGUUUCUAUCAGAAUGCUCUACAGGGUGUAGAAUCUGAUUUAAUAACUAUUGAGAAAUCUCUGCGGUACUUUGUUACAUUUUCAGUAUAUGGAACUUCUCAUCAAAUUCCAAUUUUUUUUCGAAAAUACUGAUUUUAUUUUAUAUUCUUUUCUAAGCAUGAUUUAGACAGUAUGGAAAAUUUUCCAAUACUUUCUGCUUUCCAUGUGAACUUUUACAUGCAUUUACAUAUGUAAGCUUAACAUUUCUAUUUCUGAUCACGUGCCUUAUUUCCUUGCAGGCAUAAACUUAACCAUUUUGUAUCUAUGUUACUGCAUUGUGUACAAUCAAAAUUUUCCCAAGUAUCAUGGUGCAGAUCUCUGCGCUCCCUUAAGCAUGAGGUUUGGAUUCUGUAAUUGAUUAUACUCUGGUACCGUCAUUCCUUAUGUCUAUUGAAAGUUCAAUCAUAAAUUAACUUGAUUGUUUAUCUACACCCUAUAUCAGUGAAUCGAGUUUCAUUGAAAAUGUACAUAGGGAAAGAAGGGAUGAAAGAGGGGAUGCUUGCUUUAUGUUUUGCACUUAAUUAACAGUGUUAAUGAUGGAAAUCAUGUUAAGUUAUUCUAAUUUAUAUGCCUUGUUAUGGUGGCAUUAAAAAGUUCACGUUGCAAAGAAGUCUUUGGAAUAGCUUUCUCACAAUUGAUAUGGUGAUUCACGAAUAUGAUCCCUACCAUCUACAAACAAUUUGGAUAAAUCUCACUGAAAUCUAAGAAAUAUUAACUAAUCAGGAAAAAUUUAUUAAGAGUUUGAACCUUGAUUCGUUUCUACAUCAGCCCUCAAUUUGAGGCCAAAACGAGUAUAAUAAAUUUUGGGAAACACCUUAAUCCAACCUAGCUAAUAAUGUGGUAUGAAAUACCAGAGUUGUGGGAAAUCAUUUUUAUAUUGAGAGUAAUAUAGGGAUUUAAGAGCGAAUCGUCUGAAUUCAGCAUAUAUUACUGUCAAAUUUCAGCUUUUAUUUAUUCUUAAUUGUCAGAUAACAAUUCUAUUUUUUUCCUUCUCUUUUCUUUAUUUUUUUGAGACAAUAUGAUUAUUUUAGAGACACCCCUUACUUUUAAAAAAUUACACUAACCUCUCAUAUCUAUUUUUGAAUAUUACAUACACCGUGACUGCUUUUUGAAUCACAUAUCAUCUAAAAUGAGGUUGAUAUACCUAAAAUUCUCGUGUAUAAAAGAUGAAAAUUUCUAUAAUUAGUUGCAAUUUUAUAGAUUUCCUUUAGUAAUAAAUUAAUACUUCAAGAUUUUGUGCAUGCACAAUUCUGAAUAUUCAAGCUAGUGGAAAUUUAAACCUAAAAUAUGUUGAAAAAGUUAUUAAAUUAAUGAUUUAACAUUUUUGAUUAAUUAUAAUUAAUAUAUAUAUAUAUACAUAAUUUAAUAUUAACAAAUGCAAACUUAUGAAAAAUUAAUAUUUAUAAACUAAAACAAGAUGUUAAAUAUAGUCAUUCUCUUGUUACAAUUCAAGUAAAAUUUAGCAAAAAUUGGUAUACUUAGUUUAUUAAAACAUUAUACAUUUUCAAAAUUUAUUAUAGAUAUGUUAAUCUGAUAUAUUAAUUAUUUUAAUAUUUCAGAAUAAUAUCACGAUACUUUUUUGGUCAUUUGAUAUUUAAUUGUGUGUAUAUAUAUUUCAUCUAAAAAUAUAUUCAGAAAUUUAUAAUUACUUUGAGCAAAUCUACUACAACUAAUAUUAGAAAAUUUUAACCUUUUUUUUACAAGGACAUUUUAGGUACAUCAACGUCAUUUUAGAAGAUGUAUGGCUCAAAAAGUGGCCAGAGUGUAUAUGUGAUACUCAAAACUAAAAGUAGUGGAGGUUUAUUGAGUUUUUAAAUGCGAGGGGCUGUCUCUAAUAUACUCAUAAAGUUCAGGGGGUGUCUCAUUCUCAUAUUAUCCUUCUUUUUAAAAUCUCUGCAAUGAUGGUAUAAAGGGUAAAGUUUUCAGAUGUUUCUUUUGUCAAAUGAAACACGGUCUAUUGCUAGCAUUAUGCAAAACACCUUGCAAUCUGCUAUGACUUUUGUUCUCUCUUAAUUGGAAGCAUUUUGAAGGCUAGAUCCAAUGAUGAAAAAUCGGCUGACAAAUUCUCACAGGUAAUUUUUCAAAAUAUUAACUACUCUUGCUUAUUGCUGCCAGAAGGCUUUCUUUCAUCUCGUUCUUACCAUCUAUUGAUUCUAGAGUUAUCCAGAUUUUUUGACGUGUAAUGAUAACUUUUGGUGAAUGUACCCUCCUUUAUUAUUAUAUGUAUUCUUAUCAUACUGAAUCCACGUUUUAAACAGUUUAAACUGGAUAUUAUAUGUUCUAAUUGAAAUUGAUACAAUUAUCUUCUUUUCAAUUCCAUGUUGAUCUUUGAAAUUAACAUCAAUUUGAAUUCCAUUAUUUUUUUUGAUAGGUAAUCAGAAUUUUAUUAAUUAAAAGAGAUUACACAGGAUGUGUACAAUCACUUUAAGCAAGAAAGGAAUGACGUGAAAUUAGGCAACCCUUCUACAGGAUUUUUAGCUACGACAUUAAACUAACUAUACAAAGUCAAAUAAAACAUUUUCCUAAUAUGCGUUGUUGUCUUUGUUUGGUCUUCGAAACAGCGGUUGUUCCUUUCUUUCCAAACACACCAUGCAAUGCAUCCCGGGAUAAGGUUCCAUGCAAGUUUGCUAUUCUUAUCACGAAAUUUUUUCCUCCAUGCCUGCAAUACAUUCUCUAUACGCCUUGACAGCACCCAAAUCAUAGAUUGAGAAACUAGGAUAUUGUUCCAAAGUUAACGAACACCAUCACAAUGAAUGAACAAGUGGUCUACCGUCUCCCCAUCCCUUUUGCACAUAUGGCACCACUUGACUACAUAAAAGCCUUUUCGUCGAAGAUUAUCCACCGUUGAUACCUGCCUCCCACAACUGCCCACAAUAAGCAUGCCACCCUUGGAGGCAAUUUGCUUUUCUACACCAGUUUCCAGGGGAAUGAACUCUCCGUAGGUCCCGAAGGGAUCUAAAAUAAGUUCGAACAGAAAAAAUACCAUCUCGUGCCAACUUUCACCUGCUACAAUCGUUCUCUCCAACUCGAAUUUGUACCUUCUGUAGAGAUGUCAAAAACAACGAAUAAUCAUCCAACUCCCAAUCCCGUAGGCCCUCUCAAAAGUAAUAUUCCAGCUGUAAUCCCAUUAUGAAUGGCUAAUACAUCACUCACUAUAGCAGAAGAUACUAAAAAAAUGUAGUGCAAAGAAGGAAAUCCUAACUUCAGCGAUUGAUCACCACACUAACAAUCAUCCCAAAAUUUGAUAUCAUUACCAUUCCCCACCACAAAAUUCAGUUUGUACUGAAAAUCACUCUAUCCCUGUCAGAUAUACCUCUACAAACUCACCCCAUAGAAACCACGACCCUCAACCGCACACUAACCCCCCUCCGUCACGCCAUACUUCUUCUCUAUGAUUUCUCUCCAAAAGUUCUCUAUCUCUCUCUACUCCAAAUCGCCACAACCACAUAUCCAAUAAGACUUUAUUAAACAAAACAAGGCUUCUAACUCUAAGGCCCCCCAUCCUCAUAGGCGAACAAACAAUACCCCAAUUAACCAAAUGAAGUUUUCUCUCCUCUCCUAUCCCUUCCCAGAGAAAUUCCCUUUGAAGUCUCUCUAAUCUAUUUGCCACUGCAGCCGAAACAGGGAAUAACGACAAAAAGUAAGUAGGGAGAUUAGAGAGAGUAAAUUUAAUGAGUGUAAGUCGGCCUCCCUUAGAGAGGUACAUACGCUUCCACCAUGCUAACCUCCUCUCCACCCUUUCCACAAUACAAUUUCAAAUAUGUGUACUUUUAAACUGCGCUCCUAACGAGAGCCCUAGAUAUAACAUAGGCAACUGCGCAACCCUACAACCCAAAAUGUCAGCCAACACCUCUACGUUAGCUACCUCUCCUACUGGAAUAGCUUCAGAUUUCCUCAGAUUGAUUUUCAAUCCGAACACCGCUUCAAAGCAUAAGAGCAAAUGACGCAAGUUCCUGAUUUGUUCAUCAUCUACCUCGCAUAAAAUCAACGUAUCGUCUGCAAAUAGCAAAUGGGACACCUGCAAGUGACCAACCAUAAAGCCCUUUAUCAAACCCUCUCUCGCAGCUCUUUUAAGCAUUCUACUUAAAGUCUCCAUCACAAUAACAAAUAGCAAUGGACACAAUAGGUCCCUUUGCUUCAAUUCUCUACUACUCCGAAAAUAACCCUCAGGUGUUCCAUUGACCAAAACUGAGAACGAAACAGUAGAGACACAAAACUCGAUCCACUUACAACAUUUAUCUCUAAAGCCACAUCGCCUAAGCAUAUACAAAAGGAACCCCAUGUUCACAUGAUCAUAAGCCUUCUGAAUAUUGAGCUUACAUAGCAUUCUCGGAACCCCCAAACGCAAUCUUGAGCCAAUGCAUCCAUUCGCUAUAAACACUGAGUCCAAAAUUUGGCGCCCUUUUACAAAAGCAUUCUGAAACUCGGACACUAAUUUCCCUAGCAUCUCCUUUAGUCUAUUCGCCAGGACUUUCUCAAUAAUCUUAUACAUCUCACUGACUAGGCUAAUAGGGUGAAAGUCCUUAAUAUCAGUUGCUCUAGAUUUCUUAGGGAUCAGCACAAUAAAUGUAGUGUUUGAACUUUUCAGGAACUUGCCACAUCCAAAAAAAUAGGUAAGAACAGCCAUAAUGUUGGAUCGCAACACCUCCCAACAUGCCUUGUAGAAUGAAAAAUAAAAAUCGUCCGGUCCAAGGGCCUUAUCAUCAUUCAUGCUAAACACUACCUCCUUGAUUUCAUCCUCCCCAAAUGGUCUCUCUAACCAACCGGCAUCCUCCUCUGUGAUAAUAGAAAAAUCCAAUUCCUCCAACUUCGGCCUCCAUUCAAACUGCUCUCGAUAGAGAUUCUGCUAGAAAUUCAUCAGCUGACUUCCAGUUUCUUGUGGUUCCUCAUAAGUAACCCCAUCCACAUCUAACACUGUGAUAGAAUUGUUGCGCUUAUUAGAAUUAGCAACCUUGUGAAAAAACUUAGUGUAUUUAUCCUCCUCUUUCAACCAAGUGACCCUAGAUUUCUGGUACCAAACAAUCUCUACCAACCUCUCUAGUUUUUCCCUUAGCACUCUAUGUCUCACCUUUUCCUCCCCAGCCAACCCUUGAUUCUCCUUCCGCCUAUCCAAUUCUUCUAUAUUUGAAAGACACUGAAUUUUACGACAGUUCACAUUGCCCACAAUCUCCUCAUUCCAUCUCUUUAAAUCUUCUUUCAAAGCCUUCAACUUCUGAUCCAACACAAAACUAGGAGAUUCCCCGACUUCAUAAGAUGCCCACCAAGCCGGUACUCGUUUCCCAAAACCUUCUACUUUCAACCACAUCUUCUCAAACCUUAAAGGCCUUCUUCCACUACCCCUACUAUUCCCAGAAAGCAUAAUAGGGAAAUGAUCAGAGUACACUAUCUCCAAUCUCCUUUGAGUGACAUCUGAAUACUUGGCCUCCCACUCUUCACAAAUUAAGAACCUGUUUAUGCGAGAAAGAAUAGGUUAGUCCUGAUUAGAUGACCAGGUAAACUCUCCUCCAAUCAUGGGUAAAUCUACCAACAUAUUUUCCCUAAUAAAAUCUGAAAAAUCCUCCAUAGCCCUGGUUAGUCUCCCACCACUCGACCAUUCAGUAGGAAAUCGAACCACAUUAAAAUCACCCCAAUACACGUUGGGAGAUUCCGCCACGCCAUCAUUCCAGCCAGCUCAUCCCACAAGCCCCCUAUCCAAUUCUUCUAUAUCUGAAAGACAUUGAAUUUUACGACAGUUCACAUUGCCGACAAUCUCCUCACUCCAUCUCUUUAAAUCUUCUUUCAAAGCCUUCGACUUCUGAUCCAACACAAAACUGGGAGAUCCCCCGACUUCAUAAGAUGCCCACUAAACCCGUACUCGUUCUCAAAAACCUUCUACUUUCAACCACAUAUUCUCAAACCUAAAAGGCAUUCUUCCACUACCCUUACUAUUCCCAGAAAGCAUAAUAGGGAAGUGAUCAGAGUACACCCUCCCCAAUCUCCUUUGAAUGACGUCUGAAUACUUGGCCUCCCACUCUCCACAAAUUAAGAAUCUGUCUAUAUGAGAAAGAACAUUUGGUUCCGAUUAGAUGACCAAGUAAACUCUCCUCCAAUCAUGGGCAAAUCUACCAACAUAUUUUCCCUAAUAAAAUCUGAAAAAUCCUCCAUAGCCCUGGUUAGUCUCCCACCACUCGACCUUUCAAUAGGAAAUCGAACCACAUUAAAAUCAUCCCUAAUACACGUUGGGAGAUUCCACCACCAUCAUUCCAGCCAUCUCAUCCCAUAAGCCCCCUAUACAGUCAUCAGAAUUAGGCCCAUAAACUUCUAUGAACAUCCAGUGAAAACCAUCCCCAAUAUUUCUAAACGAUAUCGAUAUAGAAAAUGACCCUACACACACCUCCUCCAUCUCAAGCACUCUAGAGUCCCACAUGACUAGGACGCCUCCUAAUGUCCCCGAUGACCACAAGAACUGGUACCUACAUGCUGUCCCCCCUAUAAGUUACUGACCACGGCCCUCGAGUUGAACUUCAACUUAGUUUCUUGUAGGCAGACGAGGUCCGCUCCCCAUCCCCUUAUAAGAUUUCAAACACCUAGCUUUUUUUCAACUUCAUUAAGUCCCCUUACAUUCCAGCUAAUGAGUUUUGGUAUCAUUUUAACAUUCCAUCAUCUCUUCCCAGUAUUCCUUUCUUUGACUCGCCACCUUUACCGUCAUAGUUUACUGAUCAUUCAAGCUGCUUAAGUUCACGAUCUCCUUUUCUUUUUAAUUGACCUCCUUGUGUACUCAUGCCCUGUCUCCUAUUAGCCUCUAGUUCCUCGAAUAAUUGUAAAAGUCUAUUUUCAUAUUCAUCACAGGACACGCCAACCAACUUACUAAAAUCUUGAAUUUUUUGCAGAACCCAAUUUGAAGGUGGCUGUCUAGUGUCAAACGCAUUCACUUUCGCUAUUUCCUCUCCGUGACAAAACUCCAAAUGAUCAAAGGACCGUUCAUCCUCUUCCUCUACCUGUACGACAUCUCUAUCUAUGUUUCCCUUCUUGGCAUCAUCUACCCACAACACCAAAGCUUUUUGAGUCCCCAUAUCACUUUCUUCUAGGGACUUAGAGUACCUUCUAUUAUAUGUGUUCAUAACCCUAGUCGUACAUGUCACAUCGUGUUUUUCCACAACUACCGAACCUAAACCCUCUGCUAAUACAUGUCUCGUCCCUUGUUCAACUGACAGUAAUCUAUCAGCCAGCGGAAUCAUGUCCAUCGCACCAUUUUCACCAUCUCCAAAUUCUCCUUACUCGCCUCCGCUUCUUUAGACAAAGGUCCCACCUCCCAGUCUACUUCGAUCCCUGAGUGGAUAUCAUCUCUCUCCAAUCCCACCAAGUCGACCUCCUCAUCAUUUUUGGAAUACUUCGCUUCCAAUCCCUCAUGAAUCUCAGAUGGGCCUGAUCAUUUCGUGCUUUUUCUUAGUAUAGUCUGCAUUCGAUGAUGACUCCUUACGCGUCAAGUUCACUAGUUUUCCAGCAGCUGGAUACUCAUCCACGUCCACUCCACAUUUGCGACAACAUAACAUCCUGGAGCCUGUUUCAAACUCACUUCCCACUAGUCUAAUUAAUUCAUCCAAUGCCCCUUUCAAUUCCUGGAUGCGGGCCAUUAUUUCAGCUUGAUUCAAACAAUUGUUAUGUGAGCCUUCAGCAUUUGCAUCCGUAAUCUUGGGCACCCACUGAUUAGCUUAAUUUGUUGUAAUUUCUGCAUAAGUCAACCUCUGUCUAUUUCAUUCAUCCACCAUUAUUUUAUACUGAAGAAUCCUUUUAAGUUCAUUUCUUUGUGUCCCGUGUAAUAUGUUUGGACAAUGAACUUUAUUCCACUUAAAGCUGAAGUGCUAAGCAUCUGAAAAUAGGUUCAAAUAGACCUAUAUUUUAGUUUUUUAUGCGAUGUUGGUUGCUGUGCCUGUGCUAAUUAAGUGGACGCCUCUUGAUGCAUCAAAAUUUUAAUUGGCGACAUUGAAUAAUAAGUAGUUCAUGCACAAAAGUGUAGUAAAGCAUCUAUUUCAAAAUGAGAGGCAUGGCCACCUGGAUCAUAUAGUUUAUUGUGCGGUCUCUAACUCAUAUGGGAUACUUGCACUGUCUCUCUUGUUAUACCCUCACUUGUGUACAGAGGUACAUCAUCAAAAUUUUAAUUGGCGACAUUGAAUAAUAAGUAGUUCAUGCACAAAAGUGUAGUAAAGCAUCUAUUUCAAAAUGAGAGGCAUGGCCACCUGGAUCAUAUAGUUUAUUGUGCGGUCUCUAACUCAUAUGGGAUACUUGCACUGUCUCUCUUGUUAUACCCUCACUUGUGUACAGAGGUAGAUGGAUGUAUGGGGUGAAAUUGAAAAUGAUGCUAGUAGAUGAUGAAGAAUAAUUAAUUGAAAAAUUACAAAUGAGAUAUGCCCUACGACUCCCUAAACCCCGGCUUUGGUUACAUGUUACAGCAUUGAUAGUUGAGUCAUUACUGUCUAAGAGCAUAUACUAGUCUAAAUCUUGUAUUUCUUUAAUAUUAGGAGAAGCUCUAAAUGUCUUUUGUCAUGGCUUGUUAAGGCAUGAAAAUGAAAAUUAGCCAUGUGCUAAUAAAGCAACUUAAGAAUCUUUUAUCGUUACAGGCGCUCUCCAUAAGAACCUUUGCCAAGAAUCUUAAGAGUUGUACUUAGAUCAGGUCACCUAAACAUGGGGAAUUUGGUAUAUCACGUUUCUGGGAUUUCCUCAACUAUAAUGAGUAUUAUGCAGUUGUAGUUGGCAAAAAAAUGGGCCACCGUAUUUUUCCUUCAUGAAGCUCCAGGUAUUAUAAUCACCCUGUGACUGCUGCUAACAGAGAUAAUGCUGUUAUGGUUUCGAGUCUUUCCAGAGACUCCGAAAUGCUUUAUCGUACUCUUAUUACCAUUUAGAAAACCCGGGCCUUGGUGAUACCUACAUUUCUUUUAUACUUGCAGUCAUGUACAUUAUAUAUGUAUAUACUGUAAUGGAAAUGUUCAUGAAGGCGUAAAGUCAUGAUUAUUUCUUUUGAAAUUCAUCAAGAGAAUAUUAUCACGCAUUUGUAUGUAGCCGAAUGAAAAAUAUGUAUAGAUUCUAUACACAUUCUCUAGGAAAUAGUAGCCAAUAUUUGUGGGAGAUUUUUCCCAAGUAGUAAUUUAUAAGAUUCGAUGCAUUUUGAUGUAUUCUACUAUACUGUGAAAUAUGGAAUUUAAAUCCUCUUUUUUUCGAUGACUUCUUAAGAAGCCCGUAAAACUUUCUGUCGAUUGAACUCAUUAGAGAAGUUGAAUAAUAUUUUCCUUUUUGAGUUUUGCUACUUGUAAAUCGAGGUUGUACGGCUUUCCUUUUUUGAAUAUUUUAAUGAAAUAUUUGAUUAGAACUGCCGAUUUG
rnacentral:lncRNA from 1 species